rnacentral:rRNA from 1 species
UACAGAGGGUGCGAGCGUUAAUCGGAAUUACUGGGCGUAAAGCGUGCGUAGACGGUUAUCUAAGUCAGAUGUGAAAGCCCCGGGCUCAACCUGGGAAUUGCAUUUGAGACUGAAUAGCUAGGGUACGGUAGAGGGAAGUGGAAUUUCCGGUGUAGCGGUGAAAUGCGUAGAUAUCGGAAGGAACAUCAGUGGCGAAAGCGACUUCCUGGACCAGUACCGACGUCAGGCACGAAAGCGUGGGGAGCAAACAGG